UCGCGGCUUAUCACCGGCAGUCCCCUUAGAGUGCCCAACUGAAUGAUGGCAACUAAGGGCGAGGGUUGCGCUCGUUGCGGGACUUAACCCAACAUCUCACGACACGAGCUGACGACAGCCAUGCAGCACCUGUGUCCAGGUCCCUUGCGGGAAGGAGUCCGUCUCCGGAGACCGUCCUGGCAUGUCAAGGAUUGGUAAGGUUCUUCGCGUUGCGUCGAAUUGAACCACAUGCUCCACCGCUUGUGCGGGUCCCCGUCAAUUCCUUUGAGUUUUAACCUUGCGGCCGUACUCCCCAGGCGGUCAACUUCACGCGUUAGCUUCGUUACCAAGGGAGUUAAUCCCCCGACAACCAGUUGACAUAGUUUAGGGCGUGGACUAC
rnacentral:misc_RNA from 1 species